AUUAUUGUCCCAGCAACGCAAAUGCGGAUCCGUUGGGUUGAUUGAGCUAAUCGGAUUUCAGAAACGACGCGUUCCGACGAAGGCCAGGAGGUUGGUGAGAGCAGAGGAAAGAGAUGGUGUUGAGUACUGGAGCGGCGGUGAGGGUGGCCCAAGUCUCAGCCAAUCUCUGUCAAUACAUAUCCUGCAAUCCCGAGCGGUUGAGCAGCGACACCGUGUUGCGCCUCCUCUUCUGCCUCCCUUUCCGCCGUUUGGCCCUUUCUCUUUCCACUUACCUUGGUUUUACCGCCUUUCCCCCUUCUGCCGCUGACAACGCCUAUUUCCACUCCGAUUGAUUUCUCUUCCCUCUCUCUCCCUUAAUCGAUCCAUGAAUGAACGCUAUGCCACUGUGUAUUUCAGAUCUAUUUCUUUGACGUCUCUGUAUGCGUGGAUCGCCUAACUAUUGCACUGAAUCGAGCAUGCGGCUUCUUGUGAUGGGUACGAUGCUUUUAGAUUACGAGUCCAGGUAAUGUACCGCACACCCAAAAGGGAGCAUUGGAUGAAACUAUACAACAAAUGAAACUUGGAUCUAAAUUCACCAAAUAAAUAUGAUGGAAUUUUCCAGCUUCUUUUCUUUAUACAGCUUCCCUGCCUGGUAUUGUUUCUUUUGUGUUUUGCACUUCCUGGCUCUGUAACAUGAUCACAGGAUCAAACAAGCUGUACAAGAAACAAUAUAUACAUCACCAAAACAGGUCCAAAGUAAUAUUUUGUAUUCUUGCCUUCCGCUAAUGACUUGUUCUCUUAAAACUCUAUGUCUUAAAAGCUUGUUAUCACAUUGA